rnacentral:rRNA from 1 species
AGCAGCCGCGGUAAUUCCAGCUCCAAUAGCGUAUAUUAAAGUUGUUGCAGUUAAAAAGCUCGUAGUUGAAUUUCGGGGUCAGUAGGUUGGUCAUGCCACUGGUAUGUACUGAUCUUACUGAUUCCUCCUUCCUGAUGAACCGUAAUGCCAUUAAUUUGGUGUUGCGGGGAGACUGGACUGUUACUUUGAAAAAAUUAGAGUGUUUAAAGCAGGCUAACGCUUGAAUACAUUAGCAUGGAAUAAUGAAAUAGGACGCUCGAUCCUAUUUUGUUGGUUUCUAGGAUUGACGUAAUGAUUAAUAGGGAUAGUUGGGGGCAUUAGUAUUCAAUUGUCAGAGGUGAAAUUCUUGGAUUUAUUGAAGACUAACUACUGCGAAAGCAUUUGCCAAGGAUGUUUUCAUUAAUCAAGAGCGAAAGUUAGGGGAUCGAAGACGAUCAGAUACCGUCGUAG